rnacentral:lncRNA from 1 species
UGCUAAGGCUGGCUUUGAAUUCUCCACCCUUCUGCCUCAGCCUCCCAAGCCACUGGGAUUACAGGUGUGUGCCACCAUGCCCAGCCAGGUUGGGUUUUGAUGCAGGGCAAAUCAGCCCCAUAUGCCAUAAGGAGUGGCCACCAUAGUAAAGGCUUGGGCCUCAGGGUGCUCACACCUUACUCUGGGUGUGUCUGGGUUGGUGUUUUAUCAGAUGAACACUUGAGUCAGUGACUGAGUAAAACAGAUACUCCAUAGUGUGAGUGCCUCAUGCAAACCACUGAGGCCCAAAUAGAACAAAAAGACUCUCUGCCUGACUGAAGUGGGAUAUCAUUUUCUCCUGGCUUCAGACUCAGACUUCCACUUGGAUUGAGACUUAGACCUUAUCUCUCCUGGGUCUCUAUCUGCCAGAGCAGAUCCUGGAUUCCCAGCCUCCAAAAAUCAUGUGAGCCAAGUCCUCAUAACAAGUCUGUUAUCUUUCUCUGUUCUCUCUCUGGAGGACCCAGACUAACACAUGGUCCAUCUCCUUCAAGUUGGGCUUCCAAGUCCUCCUUUCCUUUCAGCAGUGCCCUGUCCUGUCCUCACACAAACACCACUUGUUGGUCUGCCUCCUGGUCCUCAGCACCCUGCAGUCUUCAUGCUCCUCAAAGCAAACAUUGGAGGACAUGUGAGGUGGUACCUGCAUCCCUUGGCUCCUUGUCCCUUCCUCCAUCCUCAGAGCAGCAGAGCAGCACCUUCCAGUCUCUUCACUUCCCUCUUUCACUUGCGGGAUCCCAUGGUCACGCUGCACUCACCCAAAUAACCAAGGAUACUUGCCCUAGUUAAAAUCCUAGAUCUGAUCACCCCUGGAAAGUCUGUUUUGCCAUCUGAGGUAACAUGUUCCUAGGUCAGGGUUUGGGUAUGGAUAUCUGGGGGACCCCACCUUACCAGAGUCAGCCUUCCUAGGCAUACGUUUAUUACACAAGGGUAAGAAUGCAGAUGGGUCCAAGAAAACCCAUCCUUCUUCCUGGAAAACAACUCAGUGCAUCGCCCCUGUUCCAGAACCAUCUCCUUCUAACUCUGUAACCAUGGGACUUGCCCAUUCCUCACUGAAGGGCUGCCCCAGAGUAGGGAGGGCAGACCUUCACGAUGCAGCCAGAGGCAGAGGUGUAAAAGCACAAAGGCCAGGAAGCCCUAGAAGGUCAUUGUGUGAGGCCACAUCUGAGGCCAGCAACAUGCCGGGCCUGGAAAGAUGUGGGCUCUGGAGCUGAGCUGCUGUGUUCAAGAUCAACACCUCUCUGUGCGUUCUCUUCUGUAGUAUGUCACAUGGGGACCAUGAGAGCUGAUACUUCAUAGGACUGACAUUGUCCAUGAGAUAGUUAAAGCUUACAGUAAACAUAUGUAUUGUAAGGGUUACAUGCUAUAAUCAUGGUGUUUGUUAUCAUAGAAAAUAGUAGUCUUUGCCCACACGUCUGAGAGAAACAAAGUCGUAGCAUGAGGCCACCCAGCUGUUUCCUUUUGGUCUCUGUCUUGUCUACCUAUUUCUUGAUGGCCAAAACGGGGGGGGGGGGCAGUCUCACAGUUCCCAGCACUCAGGCACCUGGAAGCUUCUCUCUCAUGGGAAGGCUGGUCACCCCCAAUUCAUGUUUAGCACUUUGCUGUUUUUUUUGUUUUGUUUUGUUUUUGCAGUGUAGGGGAUUGAACCUAGGGCCUCACAUGCUAGGCAGAUGCUUUACCACCAAGCCCGAGCCCCAUUAUCUUUACCACACAUUAUUAGCUCAGAUGUCCUUAUUUAGGUCAGUUACUACUAAUAAUAGCAAUAAUUAACAAUAAAUAUUAAACCAAUUAUAAUAAUACAUAGUACUACAAAUAGUGAUAGUAAAAUUACAAAUAUAGUCAAAUAUUUUCUAUCCAUCAAACUCACUUUUAAAAAAAUCAGAUAAUACUUUUAGUUUGGAGUAUAAGCCCUUAGCAACCACAUCAUGUGGGCAUUUCCCAGGUGCAUCUGAAGUUCAAACACUUUAUCAUUCUGUACAGCCAGGCCCUCCACAUGUCUGCACAUAUUAAAAACUGUGGCAAAAAGUGAAUGCAUACCCUUGAAAGCACAUAUAUUACUUACUUUGUCCUUCCUGCUGUUGAUGGUGACCAAUAGUCCUUUCCUCUGGGCCCAUUGUAAGGUUUGACUGAAAAAAAAACACCUGAACUUUGGAGUGUUACAUUUCAAAAUCCCAAGAACCUUCAAAUGAUAACCAGUGUCCAUAAGAGGGUACCACUUUCACAGGGCCUCUUUAUAUAUGACCUCAUUAAACCCCAUGGCUUCCUAGGGAGACUCUGUACCAGGGGCCUGAUUUGCUCUGAACUUUGUGUCCUUUCGGGUCAUUUCACUGACAGUGCAAUGUUCCUGGACACAGUCAAAAAAAAUCAGAUAAUACUUUUAGUUUGGAGUAUAAGCCCAAACUUCUACCAAUGGGUCCCAGAGUAUUCUAGUUAAUAUGUCUUGUUUCAGAUGUUGUUGCUGGAAAUGCUUAAAAGCAAAUCUUUAGUGGCUUAGUAAGUAUGUAGAGUAGGGACAUUCAGUAUGCAGUAGGACAUUCCUCCUGCAUGUCCCUUGUAUGAACUGUUCCUUCCCCACCCCGACUCCCUGCUCCCCUCCCACAGGCCCUACCUAAGUCAGGUCUCAGCACAAGUCUCGGGGACACACUCGGUCCACUUGGGAGCCUGCAGAAGGGACUGCUGGCUUUAGCAUCUCUCCUACUUCUGCACAUAUUUACAUGACAUCUCCAGCCCCCUGGCCUUGGCUGGGUCACGAUGAGUUCUGGCCUCUGGGACAUACACAGAAGUGACUGUGUCCCUGGUGGUCCAGCCACAAACCAAUGCCACUGUCUGUGUUCGCUACCUUGCCAGUUACGGAGUUCCUGGAGGGUGUUGGAUCCUCCAGAUAAAAGAAAUCUGGCCAUGUGGCUGCAGCGGCCAGCACUGGCCAUAGCAAGGUUGGGAAAUUAACUUAUAAUGCUUAUGCUGAUGCAAUUUGCAUUUUUUUCUGAGUAGAGCAAAUAAAUCCCAGUGGAGUGAGAUAAACAGGAAUAAUGUAAUGCAGAGUUUAGAAGAAGCAAACUGUUAGGAGUGGACUGCAGGGGCAAGGAUGAGCAGGAAGGCCUGGGAAGACUGACAGCCUAAGCCAGAGGUAGCGCAGGACAGGAGGCAGGUAGCCACUGUAGACCCUAGAAACAGACCUGACGGGCCAGUGGAAGGUCAGGUGCAUGAGUGAGGGAGAAAGAAAGCAAGCAAGCUGGCUGGCUUGCCACAGUGGCACUGUUAUAGCCAGAGGGGAGUUUGGAAGGGCACAUGCUAAAGCUUGAGACAGUGUUCUGACAUCCCUACAGUCAUCUCUUGCUUCACAAGUUCAGGGCAGAAGUCUGAACCAGAGAUAAAUCUGGAAGUUGUCCAUGUGUGUUUGCUGUUUAGUUCUCUCAGAUUGGUUAAGGGGUCCAAGGACAUGAGGGUGGAGUGAGGAGCAAUGGCCAGAGGAGAAGAGUGCAGGGGAGGACAGUCCUGGGGGCAAGAACAGGUGCCUACCUGUCAAUGCUGGUCACGGGGAUGUGGAGGAAAAUCUUCCCUUGGAUUAGGCCUAGGAGGGCUCUCAUUGGCUUCACAGCACCAGUUUUGGAGGAGUGUUGGGAAUGAACAAAAGGAUGAUGCAUGCGAGAGGAGCAGAGAAAUGAGACUUGGCUGGGAGUGAGAAACUGAUGUGACUCCAUUUUUGAGAAAUCAGCUUCUACCUCAAGGCCUGUCCAAAGAAGGGGGCGUGAACCUUGUCCUGGGAAAAACCCACAGAGCACUCCUAAGCACAUACCCACCCUGCUGAUCGUUUGUCUGUAAAUAACAGGAGAGUUCUGUGGCGCCAGGUGUCCCUGACUCAGUUAGGCUAGGUGAGGAUCCAUAGCCACCCCCUAGUAACCUCCAGUCAGCAUGAGACAGGGAAAAUACCUGGGAUGCCAGAUGACCCCCCCCCCCAGUAGUUUAUGGUGGUUGAUAACAUGUUGGGAAACCAUGUAGUUUAGCACAUACUCCCACCUCAUGGCCUAAACCAGUCAGUUCAAAGGAAUCCCCCUAUUGUACUAACCAAUCACCCCUACCCAACUUGUUCCCCCCAGUGAAUGUGCUAAUCAAUGUUAAGAGUUUUGUUUGAUUUUCCUGCGGUAUGGAAUGAUUUGCUGUGUGAUGUUGUGAUGCAUAGAGUAUCCCCCCAAAAACCUAUAAAAUCUCACUGAACAAAGGACUGGGACUCACUCCCUGGGACCGCUGCAUCGGGAACGGUUGUGAGUCCAGGCUUUUGAGCUUGCAAUAAAGAC